CCGGAAAAUAUGAAAUUCUGUGCUUUGGAUAAUAUUUGGGCAACCUGGACGAAGGCAGCAUUCUAUUCUGGCGAAGUUGUUCGAAGCAUUUGGAGACGAAAAUUAUGGCCGAAAUUGCUCCAUUUAUCUCGCCUUUGAAGCGAAAGUCUGAUUAGCUUUCUCUGCUACACUUAUUGGUGAAACGAACAGGUAAAAUACUCUUUAUUUCAUGUUUAUUUGUGUAUUUAUUCGAGCUGACUUACGAGACGAUUUUAAACACGUGGGCGAAUUUGCCGUUCACGUUUAACUUCGAUUUGGUGAAACUCCUGCUCAAAUAUCAAGCGUAUUUCGUUGACAGAGGCUUUAAAAACGUUCGUAUAUAGCUAACGUUGCCUAUGUUUUAUUUUAGAUGGAGUUUUUACAAGUUAAAAGCAGUUUAAACGUCGACAAAAGCUGCGUACAAAAUAUUCAAUGCGACGUCUAAUUUAAAUUCCUCAAAGAAAGCAAGAAUGCAGAUUACAUUUAACUUGGUUAACAAGCAGGUAAUUAAGUCUUUGUUUCGUGUUUGUUUUGUGCAAUUAUACCACUUACAUCUCAACUUAAAAGCGAGACGAACAGGACAAAUUGUAAGAUUCGUGUCGAAUGCAUGAAUAAUUUCACUUUGCCUUUGCGAAAACUCUUGCGCAAAUACCAAGCGUAUUUCGUUUAAAAAGCAUUAAAAACCUUUGUAGAUAGCUAACAUUGCUUCUGUUUUAAUUCAGAUAGAGUUUUGACAAGUUGAAACGUUCAAACGUAGACGAAAUCUGUGGACAAGAUCAAUUCAACAAAGCCGAAAGUUACGUUCAGAAUUGGUCAAAAUUGUCUCGCGUUGCAUACUUGGCUUUGAAGAGAAAGCACGCUUAGCUUCUCUUCCACAAACACAGUGAC